AGGAUCAUCUCAUCAUACCUCAAUCCUCUACUAUUUAUCAGACCUUGCAUAGAAAUACAUAUAUGAGUACUUAAACUAGAGUCUAGUAUCCAACUAGAAGUAGAGGAAACCAUUAGGUUAGAUUUAAUAACAAGUAAACUUGACAUACCUUCUGAAUGUUUGUCACCCUUCUUGAUCUUCAAACUUUCUAGGUACUGUGGAUAUUCCUCUUCCAGUGGCCAUCAGUAUGACAGUCGAAAUAUUUUUCUUUAUCUGGAGCCUUCUUUGGAGUGUUCUUCUUUGAUCUUUUCUUGUUCUUCUGUUUCUUUACCAGCAUAUUCUUUUUCUUGUAGGA
rnacentral:lncRNA from 1 species